UACGUAGGGUGCAAGCGUUGUCCGGAAUUAUUGGGCGUAAAGAGCUCGUAGGCGGCUUGUCGCGUCGGCUGUGAAAACCUGGGGCUCAACCCCGGGCCUGCAGCCGAUACGGGCAAGCUAGAAUUCGGUAGGGGAGACUGGAAUUCCUGGUGUAGCGGUGAAAUGCGCAGAUAUCAGGAGGAACACCGGUGGCGAAGGCGGGUCUCUGGUCCGGUACUGACGCUGAGGUGCGAAAGCGUGGGGAGCAAACAGG
rnacentral:rRNA from 1 species